rnacentral:misc_RNA from 1 species
GAAAAAAAAUAAAACCAUGACAAAAAAAAAAUUUAGAGCACAAAAUUUCAUUAUAACCAUUAUCAUAACCAUUGAUCAUAGUGAAGCUCAUAAAUCUCACCAUAAUCAAAAUCUAUUUGGCAUACAUACAACGGAUGCACGAAAUAACAUAGAGAGAGAUACAUGACAUUCAGAAGCAGCAAGACUGAGAUGAGGGGUACAGUGCUUGAAGUCCCAGCACACAAAGCCAUCAGAUCACAAGAAGGUAGGAACAUCCAUGAGAGCAAAACCAAAUCUUGAUGAAGCUUCCUGGAAAGUUGAAACAUGGAAUGCUAAAAGUUGAGGGCUUGUGAGAAGAUGAAAAGAAGAGAAAAGGAAGAAGAAGAGGGUAGUGAUAGGAGCCAUGUAUAUAUCUGUAUGUUUCUUUCUUGAAGAGCAAAGCUUAAUACAUGGGAUUAUAAUUUGAGAGAAAUGGGUAGUGUAGUUGCUUGGUUUGUUGAUAUAUCUCUUCCGAAGGGAAAGGUAUCUUUUUCUUUUUAUUAAUUUUUAUUUUUUACUGUUGGAGGAUGAUGAAAAUAUGUCAAUGCUUGCUUGCUUGGAAGCAACUACUAGAGUUUUAUUUAUAAGAGUAGGUGAGAAUUGAUUUGAAAUACAAAAUUGAUCACCAAAUAGAUCCCAUUACCUGUUGUGUGACAAAAUUUUCAUAGUUUUGUUAAAUGAUGUGUGACUUUCUUGUCCCGAGUGUGCAUGUAUCUUUAAUCAAUUGAAAAAAAAUUAAGCAUGUUUAAUGAGUGUCUAUCCGCUUUUGAGUGUCCAAACUGAUCUUUCUAGAUUCUAUAUUGAUUGUGAACAGCGUGUAUAUGAGAUAUAAGACUUGAUUUUAUCAAACAGUAUAUCUUUUUUGUCUCGUGUGUUAGAGU